rnacentral:rRNA from 1 species
AGUGAACGCUGGCGGUAGGCCUAACACAUGCAAGUCGAGCGGCAGCACAGUAAGAGCUUGCUCGUACGGGUGGCGAGUGGCGGACGGGUGAGGAAUACAUCGGAAUCUACUUUUUCGUGGGGGAUAACGUAGGGAAACUUACGCUAAUACCCCAUACGACCUACGGGUGAAAGCAGGGGAUCUUCGGACCUUGCGCGAUUGAAUGAGCCGAUGUCGGAUUUGCUAGUUGGCGGGGUAAAGGCCCACCAAGGCGACGAUCCGUAGCUGGUCUGUGAGGAUGAUCAGCCACACUAGAACUGAGACACGGUCCAGACUCCUACGGGAGGCAGCAGUGGGGAAUAUUAGACAAUGGGCGGGAGCCUGAUCCAGCCAUACCGCGUGGGGGAAGAAGGCCUUCGGGUUGUAAAGCCCUUUUGUUGGGAAAGAAAAGCAGCCGGUUAAUACCCCGCUGUUCUGACGGUACCCAAAGAAUAAGCACCGGCUAACUUCGUG